rnacentral:rRNA from 1 species
CACCUGAUCCCAUUCCGAACUCAGUAGUGAAACGUAUUAGCGGCGAUGGUAGUGUGGGGUUUCCCCAUGUGAGAGUAGCACACCGCCAGGC